GUGAGUCAUCGAAUCUUUGAACGCACAUUGCGCCCCUUGGUAUUCCGAGGGGCAUGCCUGUUCGAGCGUCAUUACAAACCUCAAGCUUCGGCUUGGUAUUGAGCGGUUUCGCCUCCGUCAGGAGGCGCCCUCGAAACUCGUGGGCGGUGGCGUCCAGCGUCGUAGCGUAGUCAUAAACCAUUUCGCUAUCCGAUCGCUUCUGGACGGUUCACCCGCCGAACGAACCGACUCGCCCCCGCGGCGGGUCACUUCUUCUAAGGUUUGACCUCGGAUCAGGUAGGGAUACCCGCUGAACUUAAGCAUAUCAAUAAGCGGAGGA
rnacentral:misc_RNA from 1 species